AACGCACCUUGCGCUCCUUGGUAUUCCGAGGAGCAUGCCUGUUUGAGUGUCUUGAAGUCAUCAACCUCCCCGUUUUUAUCGACGGGCCGGUUGGAGCUGGGGGCAUGCGGCCGAGAGGCCGCUCCCCUCAAAUGCAUCGGUUGGGCCUGUGGGUUCGAACUCGAUUGGGCGUUGUACCAUCCUCGCUCCGCAGAGUUAGUCCCGCUGAUACGUGCCCUUCCCCGACCCGCCUCUGGAGUGGCGGUCAACACUUUUUGAAAUCUGACCUCAAAUCAGGUAGGACUACCCGCUGAACUUAA
rnacentral:misc_RNA from 1 species